UGCAAACAACACCUCACCUAUUCACAAGAUUGUGACUCAGAGCUGAGAAAUAAAUACAUUUCCCUGUUACCACUGAACAGGAUGUUUAGUGCAACUUUUUGACCUUUUUUUCUUUUAAGCAAAGUCAUGCAGUCUGCAUCUUUAAAACCUGGACUGAAGAAUUUUGCCAAACAGAAAGAGAAGAAUUGGUUUAUCCUACCUGGGGAUUUUCUACAGCGACCUUGUUUACUUGACUGACUCCUCUUGUUAUCAGAGGUCUCUGGAUAUUGAAGCAAUUAAGAGCUACAGAAAACAACUGUGGACUUCUCAGUGCCUUUCCAGGCCCGGCUGGUAUGAAGACUGAGCCUAACACCUUUGCAAAGUGGCAUUUGAGUGAUUUAUAAUGAAGACAAACCUAAGUGAUCAGUGCAGAGCAGACGCUUACGCCAAAGAAGCAGAUCCUGGUGACAGGCCACUGUCCUCAGCAGGCUGGGAAGCAAGAAGAUCUCGGACAUGAACUAACCUGUCCUCGUCGUGGAAGGAAAGGGGCAGCCUCCCAACAGACCCAGGCUUCUAUUUCCUCUAUUGCAAAAUGGCCCCGGAGUGGGAACAUGGCUAGUAAUCUCCGCAGGCACAGAGAACACAAGACCCUGUCUGACGAACAGUGCCGCUGGCCUGCCAGUCAUGUGCAGCGGGGUAUACUUUGUCUUGGGAUCUCCAUUUUCCUCCCAAUGCUGACAGUUGUUUCUGAUUUUCCUGUUCACUUCAAAUGGCUCCCCACCCCUACUCCCCACAAACUUCUGUUCUUCCCUCCUUUAUUUGCAGUGGUUCCUAAGUCAUGUCUCAACCAUUUAUACAUUAAUAAGAAGUUCAGCCAGUGUUUGAUUCCCCGUGGAUAUUACAUUAUAUAUUGUAUGCAUGUGUAUACACAGCAUAGAUUCCAUACACAUAGUACACAUAAACCUAUAUAUAAAAUAAUAGUAGCUCCUCAAUAUGGGGAAAAGGUUUUGUGCCUCAUUAGAGAAUUACUUAGCUUGGCUUCCUUCUUACAUAUCAGUGUCCUUUUUCUGUCAUAAAAUAAAUCUCAUAAUAGACAAAUUUGGGAACAAGUUUUAAAUAAAAAGUAAAAAAAUUUCUUUUACUCUUUAGAGGGAUAGAAGAACACUAUCCCUCAGAAUUGACUACCUUAAAUAUUUUGGGGUAUUUUUCUAUCUCUUCUCACUUUUAAAAUUGUAAAAUAUUUGUACCUUUAAAAAAAAAAGUAUAGAGAAACGUUUACUUUCUUGUUUUAGACAUGACUCUAACAACGUUGAUUUCAUUUCCCUCCCCACAGUAGGUUAGAGAUAGCAAUUUUAAAGCGGGGAUAUUGACAAAGAAAGAUAGCAGGUAGACAAGAAUUGAGACU